rnacentral:rRNA from 1 species
CGGCGGACGGGUGAGUAACGCGUGGGUAACCUGCCUCAUACAGGGGGAUAACAGUUGGAAACGGCUGCUAAUACCGCAUAAGCGCACAGUACCGCAUGGUACCGUGUGAAAAACUCCGGUGGUAUGAGAUGGACCCGCGUCUGAUUAGCUGGUUGGUGGGGUAACGGCCUACCAAGGCGACGAUCAGUAGCCGACCUGAGAGGGUGACCGGCCACAUUGGGACUGAGACACGGCCCAAACUCCUACGGGAGGCAGCAUG